UAUUGUAUUGCGUUAAACGCGGAUACAUUCCAUGAGACUUUAUUACGGUGUGAGUGUAAAGAUGCAGAACCGCAGCAGGAGGACAAGUCCCCCAGGCCACAGAACUACAGAAGGGUGCACAGGUGUGAGUGGAUGUGCAGACAGAGCGUGCACAUGCCCCCGUUUAGGGACCAGCAACAACUCGUGUCGGCAGUUCGGUAAUGAUCCUUCCGCAGGUUCACCUACGGAAA
rnacentral:misc_RNA from 1 species